AAUGUGCGAACAUAUUAUUUUUG
rnacentral:snRNA from 1 species